UCUAAUACCGGAUANNANNNNNNNNNGCANNNNCUGUGUGUGGAAAGCUCCGGCGGUGAAGGAUGAGCCCGCGGCCUAUCAGCUUGUUGGUGGGGUGAUGGCCUACCAAGGCGACGACGGGUAGCCGGCCUGAGAGGGCGACCGGCCACACUGGGACUGAGACACGGCCCAGACUCCUACGGGAGGCAGCAGUGGGGAAUAUUGCACAAUGGGCGAAAGCCUGAUGCAGCGACGCCGCGUGAGGGAUGACGGCCUUCGGGUUGUAAACCUCUUUCANCAGGGAAGAAGCGAAAGUGACGGUACCUGCAGAAGAAGCGCCGGCUAACUACGUGCCAGCAGCCGCGGUAAUACGUAGGGCGCAAGCGUUGUCCGGAAUUAUUGGGCGUAAAGAGCUCGUAGGCGGCUUGUCACGUCGGAUGUGAAAGCCCGGGGCUUAACCCCGGGUCUGCAUUCGAUACGGGCAGGCUAGAGUUCGGUAGGGGAGAUCGGAAUUCCUGGUGUAGCGGUGAAAUGCGCAGAUAUCAGGAGGAACACCGGUGGCGAAGGCGGAUCUCUGGGCCGAUACUGACGCUGAGGAGCGAAAGCGUGGGGAGCGAACAGGAUUAGAUACCCUGGUAGUCCACGCCGUAAACGUUGGGAACUAGGUGUGGGCGACAUUCCA
rnacentral:rRNA from 1 species